CCUACGGGAGGCAGCAGUGAGGAAUAUUGGUCAAUGGACGAGAGUCUGAACCAGCCAAGUAGCGUGAAGGAUGACUGCCCUAUGGGUUGUAAACUUCUUUUGUAUGGGAAUAAAAUGUUCCACGUGUGGGUUUUUGUAUGUACCCUAUGAAUAAGGAUCGGCUAACUCCGUGCCAGCAGCCGCGGUAAUACGGAGGAUCCGAGCGUUAUCCGGAUUUAUUGGGUUUAAAGGGAGCGUAGGUGGAUUGUUAAGUCAGUUGGGAAAGUUUGCGGCUCAACCGGAAAACGGCAGUUGAAACUGGCAGUCUUGAGUACAGUAGAGGUGGGCGGAAUUCGUGGUGUAGCGGUGAAAUGCUUAGAUAUCACGAAGAACUCCGAUUGCGAAGGCAGCACACUGGACUGCAACUGACACUGAGGCUCGAAAGUGUGGGGAUCAAACAGGAUUAGAUACCCGAGUAGUC
rnacentral:rRNA from 1 species